rnacentral:lncRNA from 1 species
GAGCGCACAGGUGACCACGCAGAGCUCAUCAUUACAGGUAACCAUGCAGGCCGCUAAUCGAAAAAGAGCACCAGCAUGGACCGUACGGGAGGUACUGGAUCUGAUCGCUAUAUGGGGAGAGGAUUCAGUGCUAGCAGAACUACGUUCCAAAAGACGAAAUGCCAAAACUUUUGAAAAAAUCUCCAAGGGCAUGAUGGAGAGAGGCCACAAUCAGGACUCAGAUCAGUGCUGUGUGAAAGUCAAGGAGCUCAGACAAGCCUAUCAAAAAACAAAGGAGGCAAACGGUCGCUCUGGGUCAGAGCCGCGGACAUGCCGCUUCUAUGCUUAGCUGCAUGCAGUUCUAGGGGGGGCCGCCAUCACUACCCCACCUCUGACUGUGGAUUCCGAGGUGGGGGUAAUCUCAGCCACACCUGAGGAUUCUGCGGACGGGGAAGAGGAGGAGGAGGAGGAGGAGGAGGAGGACAAGCUUGCGGAGAGCACACAGCACUCCGUUCUCCCCAACAGCCAGGAUCUUUUUCUCAACCUGAGUGAAAUACCCUCCCAAGGCAGUAUCCAAGACCAUGACCCAAUGGAAGGGACCUCAGGUCAUCCAGCUAAUUCCAGCUCCAGGAAACCUGCACUAUGGGAACGUCCAGCUGUCCUCAGAGCCAUAAUCGUGGUUAUGACGGUCGUUGUCAUCGCUCUAGUAGCAGCUUUGAUAGUGGAAAAAUCUGGACAGCCUCCUCCAUGCCCCCCUGCUGCCUCCUGGUGCCCGGACGGCUGGAUCCGGAUCCAAGGGAAAUGUUACUAUUUUUCUACGCCCGAAGGGAACUGGACCUACAGCCGGAGCUUCUGCUCGUCACACGCUGCCUCCCUGGCCGGCAUUGAGAGUCUGCAGGAGCUGGUGAGAAGCCC